rnacentral:rRNA from 1 species
AUUGAACGCUGGCGGCAGGCUUAACACAUGCAAGUCGGGCGGAUGACGGGAGCUUGCUCCUUGAUUCAGCGGCGGACGGGUGAGUAAUGCCUAGGAAUCUGCCUGGUAGUGGGGGACAACGUUUCGAAAGGAACGCUAAUACCGCAUACGUCCUACGGGAGAAAGCAGGGGACCUUCGGGCCUUGCGCUAUCAGAUGAGCCUAGGUCGGAUUAGCUAGUUGGUGGGGUAAUGGCGCACCAAGGCGACGAUCCGUAACUGGUCUGAGAGGAUGAUCAGUCACACUGGAACUGAGACACGGUCCAGACUCCUACGGGAGGCAGCAGUGGGGAAUAUUGGACAAUGGGCGAAAGCCUGAUCCAGCCAUGCCGCGUGUGUGAAGAAGGUCUUCGGAUUGUAAAGCACUUUAAGUUGGGAGGAAGGGCAGUAAGUUAAUACCUUGCUGUUUUGACGUUACCGACAGAAUAAGCACCGGCUAACUCUGUGCCAGCCGCCGCCGUAAUAC